CCCUCGCGGGUGCACCGCCGACCG
rnacentral:snRNA from 1 species